CCUCCCAAUUCAUCUCUUUGAUAAAACAAAGAAGCCUACCUCCAUGGAAUGUUUCACGAAGGACUUAGUAUAAAAGAAUCGCUGGAACAACACCUGCCCUGUAGCCAUGGCCACCUAGGGACGGAGAAGAUUCCAUCACUUUUGAACGCAGAACUCAAACCUGUCCCAGCUCAAAUGUCAUGUGUAGUUCCCCCUAGGACAAAUACCCAAGACAGUUUCCAUUUCCCCAAAGAAUUUCGGUCUCGCGAGGUUGUCCUAGGGUUUGGAAGAGGGCCUUCGCCCGAGGGGAAGGGGGGAGGGGAAGUCCGGGGCCGGCCCCACUCCAAGCCGGUCAGCGGCCAGGUUUGAAGCAUGGACUUGGGGGGAUUAUGUCAAGGCUGCGGAGCGGGCCGGGCUCCGACCUCAGUCAUGGUCUAGGUACGGUUGGUUCCGGGACGUGGUCCAAGCCAACAACAAAGGCCUGGCACUCUCGGCCGGCCGGCGGACGGUUACCUAUAAAGCUCGCGGCCGCGCCCUUACCUGCGGCAGGCGAAGCAGGAUGCCGGCUGCCUGGAUGAGCUCGCAGCCCACCACGCGGAGGCCGGUCUCUGUGUCGAUAUCGAGACCGCUCGACAUGGAUGGCGUGAAGCGAAGCUUGUCGUCGGGCAGCAGGCAGUUCUCCAAAGUGAUGAGCACGCCUGAGUAUAGCCUGUCACCGAUCAGUACCCCCUGAGACCCUGGGACGGCUCCCCCCGAGCCGGAAGAGCCGGCCGCCAACGCAGGACCCGCCAACACCGAAGCCCCGGCUGCCGACGCCGCCAUUUUGUGCCGCCGAUUCUUUUUCGGGCCCUUCCCGGAGGGCGGCUCCUCGCGACAAUCACAGCCGCCCCGCCCCGCCCCCGCCCAUUGGCUGCACGUCACCGCCACCUCGACCCCGUUGGCCGUACGACCUGUUCUUCUGUUUCGCGUCAGCCUCUGACGCCGGAAGUGGCCACGGGAGGGGCUGCUCGUUACCCACUCGGCUCCGCGACCUCGACAGAAUCGGAAGCAGUUAGUCCGGUGCGGAUUGCAGCGCUCCUGCCUCGCAGACUGGAGCUCUAGAAGGGAGUAUUUCCUUUCUGUCCAAGGAGGUGAGGACAACUCCCAGGGGAUGAAGGCCAAGCUCCGGGGAAAUGGAAGGCUGAGCUCCCGAAGCCGGGUGUGGAGGAGGGCCGAGCUCUAGGGGAGAUGAAGGACAAGCUGGGGGUCGGGAUGGAGCUCCCAGGGGCGGCGCUUACGGUCCUCAGGUUCCUCUUCUUCAGUCUGCGGGCCUGCGUACACUUAACGAAAGCUCUGGUCACCGCCCUGACUGCCAGCCGGUAGCAGCGAUUCUUCCUUCCCCUAAAAUGCUGGACGAAGAAAAAGGAAGAAGGGUGUCCGGAUAGUAGCGCACCACCUUGCCCGUGCUCCGACUCCGGCACGCACACUCACCUGAGCAUGUUUCAACACCUCCUGAACCCGACAAAAGCGGUCCGUGAGGCGGUUCCGUAGCCAGAGCCGCGUUGUAAGGAAUACCAUCGUGUGCUCCAGAGAUCCGAGGGGGUGCCAUAAGCAUUUCCGGGUCAACGGUCGGAGAGGCCGGCCAGGCCGGGUGUGUGCGCACACACAGUCUUCCGGGACGCCUCUGGGCUCGCUCCUUGAGUUCCGUUGUGCGUGACCGUCCGCAAGUAGAUGGAGCAGGCGGAAGAGACCAGGCGCAUAGAACUGAUGUCAUGGACUGAAAGGACCAAGGCUGCGGGGCUGAUGAUCAAGUAGACAAAGAGGGCAGUUGUGGACGGAAAUCAGACUUCCAGAAACGACCAAAGAAAUCAGACUUCCAGAAACGACCAAAGAACCUCGGUGGUCUGCUCUUGUGUAGGCAUCAGUUAGUUGUCCCUAAAUGAAAGUGACAGAAAUUAAAUCAAGGCAGCGCCAUUCUAAAUGCA